UUGGAACUAUAUCUAUAUCAGAGCAGCCUCGGAGACGGGUUCCGACGAGGCUCUACCUUUUUCCGAUCUUCAUAUCCACUUAUUUUCUAUGUAUUUUGAUCGACCUCACAACAUACGAAUUUCUGCCAUGGAAGAUGGGGGAGCUCCAUAUGUUUCUGUGGAUUCGUUUUUCUUUCACAAACCUAUAAAAGAUAAAAUUCCAUCGUGCGAUCUUGCUCUCAUUGUUGGAAUCGGCGGUCUCGGAAUACAAUUUCAAAUUAUAUAAGAUUUGGGGCAUCAAGAAUCAGUGAGACAUAGUUCGUACUUCCAACGACAACCCACCCAGGUGUCAUAGUCACAGACAGAGAGUUGGCUUUGAUUAAUGCAUGCAGAGUGGUAUCUCCGGGUACUAAACAGUUACUUUAUAGAUGACACAUCUUUCAAAAUAUUUUGAAACAUUGUAGACCAUCGAUUCACGAGUCUCACUCGUGGAACUCUUUUUUGUCAAUUAUGGUUACAAUUACUUGAAUCUCAAAAUCAGGAAUGGUACACGUACAACUUGUGGAUUCCGAGCUAUAUCUACUUGUCUGGGUGGUCAUGAAGACGAAUGAGACAAUAUCCGCAAAGAGUUAAUGAUUGAACUGAGUAUGUACAAUAUUACUCUUAUGUGAUCGGCAAAGAGUGCUUACGCAUUCACGAAGCGUUGAUUUUUUUCCAAAAGGGCGUAUUCGCACCAGCUACGCAUUGGAUUGCUAUGCAUGAAAUGGGCAUUCUAACGGCUUCAAGGUUCAAUGUCAUUCUGCAUGUUCUCAAUAUAGCAGACAAUGUGACAUACUUAUCGUUUAGGACAUAACCUCCGUCGUCAUCUCAACACGUGACAUUGCAAUAGUAGAUGUUGAUGGUAACCAUUACAUAAAGAUGAUAUUAAAUGAAGAAUAUCCAAUGCCCACACUUACGCACCAUUGGGCACGUUAUCGUCUUCAAGAUACAAGUACAUGGAUUGUCUCGUACCAACAUAUAUUCAAUGAGUAUGAAGAACAUAUAGAGCGUACUCUUACUCGUGAAUAUGUUAAUUUAACAUGAAAGUCAAAGUUUUUAAUAUAUUAUAAUUUAUC